rnacentral:rRNA from 1 species
ACGGAGGGAGCUAGCGUUGUUCGGAAUUACUGGGCGUAAAGCGCGCGUAGGCGGUCCAUCAAGUCAGAGGUGAAAGCCCGGGGCUCAACCCCGGAACUGCCUUUGAAACUGGCGGACUAGAAUCUUGGAGAGGCGAGUGGAAUUCCGAGUGUAGAGGUGAAAUUCGUAGAUAUUCGGAAGAACACCAGUGGCGAAGGCGACUCGCUGGACAAGUAUUGACGCUGAGGUGCGAAAGCGUGGGGAGCAAACAGG